CAGCAGCCGCGGGAAUACCAGCAGCCCAAGUGGUGGUCGCGUUUAUUGGGCCUAAAGCGCUCGUAGCCUGACCGGUAAGUUCCCCGUGAAAUCGGGUCGCCCAACGAUUCGGCUUGCGGGGAAUACUGUCGGUCUUGGGGCCGGGAGACGCCGAGGGUACUCCGGGGGUAGCGGUGAAAUGCUGUAAUCCUCGGGGGACUACCAGUGGCGAAGGCGCUCGGCGAUAACGGGCCUGACGGUGAGGGGCGAAAGCUGGGGGCGCGAACGGGAUUAGAUACCCCCGUAGUCCCUGUCUCUUAUU
rnacentral:rRNA from 1 species